rnacentral:rRNA from 1 species
UACGUAGGGACCGAGCGUUGUCCGGAAUCAUUGGGCGUAAAGAGCGUGUAGGCGGCCACUUAAGUCCUGCGUGAAAUCUUGCGGCUCAACCGCAAGCGGUCGUGGGAAACUGGGUGGCUAGAGUGCGGGAGAGGAGAGUGGAAUUCCUGGUGUAGCGGUGGAAUGCGCAGAUAUCAGGAAGAACACCGGUGGCGAAGGCGGCGACCUGGUCCGUGACUGACGCUGAGGCGCGAAAGCGUGGGGAGCAAACAGG